AGCAAGAAUGACAUAAUCCUAGGCUUAGGUAUGAUUUUUUGUACAAGACCAUGAUAAGUUCAACCCAAACUCAAGGUACAAGAUAUAAUCCACAAUAAGAAUGGGAAAACAGUAGCAACGCUUCAUUGGAGACUGUUCUAGAAAGGGAAAAGGAUUCAAGUCAUUGUUCUAAGCUCAUCUUCUCUAGAAGAGGAGCAAGUUGCCAAUUGUCCGACAAGAUAUGUCCUUGAUGCGUUUGUGAAACCAUGUAGAUGUUAUACUAUGUCAUUACAUUGAUAACACAUUAUUUUUAGGAUCUAAGUGUGGUAUUUAAUUUGACAUGCAGGAAAAUCUAUCUCCAAAAGAUUCAAGGCACAAACUUGAUGAAAGGUAUCUAGAAAAUGGUGUGUUCUAUAGAGCAGUCAGCUGAGAGUUGAAAGAUCGUUGCUAGAAAUUAUUUAAAGGCUGUAAGAAGUUUAUGUAAGUGUUUCAACAUUACUCACACACAAAUUCCAAUGAGAAAAGUUUAUUUAUUUAUUUUUUUGGAAUUCUUUAGAAUGUUGAAAAUGGUCUUGUUUUGGUGAAACAGAAAGUAGUGAGAGUGAACUUUAGAUUCUUUCCAGGAGUUCAAAUAGGAAUUGUGGAGAAAAUGUACAGGCUUAAGUUUCAAUAAACUUUAAUGAGAAUUGAUUUCAACAACUCAUAUCGACUCCUAGAAA